CAGGGUGCUGGGCGCGGAGGGGCGAAAAAAGAGAAAGGGAAGUGGUGGUGGUGGUGAUAAUGGCGACGAAAGCUUAGCUAGUAAAGGUAGAAGAAUGGAGGAGGACGAGUUUAAAGUUUUGAUGAAAUUCAAUGAGGAUAUAUCUAAACAUGACAUUUCCAAUCCAAUGCGUCUAACCAAGCUGAUAAAAGAAGCUGUUGGAGAGGUGGUAUCAGCAAGGUAUAUAAGCAACAAUAGGAUCAUAGUGUUUUGCAAGUCUAGCCAGCAAAAACAGAAGGCUUUAAGUUUGAGUAAGCUAGGGAAGGAGGAUGUGGAAUGUGUGGAGGUGGGAGUAAGAGAUGGAACAAAAGGAGUCAUUACUGGUGUCCCUAUGAAUAUUUCUGAAGAGGUAAUGAAAACCUGUAUGGAGGGAGGGACACUAGUGAAGGCAACACGAUUUCACACUACCAAGGAGGGUAAAAAGGUUCCAAGCACAACGAUCUUGCUGCAGUUCAGUGAACUGCAGCUUCCUAAACGUGUGAUGAUUGGAUAUGUUUGCUACCCAGUCAGGCCAUAUGUGCCGGCACCGCUCAGGUGCUUUAAAUGCCAAAGGCUGGGGCAUGUCGCAGCAGUCUGCAGAGGGGCAAGGAGAUGUUGUAGAUGCGGAGGAGAUCACGACUAUGGACACUGUGGGGAGGGAGUGCAGCCCAGAUGCUGCAAUUGUGGUGGGGCACAUAGCGCAGCAUUUCAGGGUUGUGUUAAACAGCAGGAGGAACAGGAGGUACAAAAAUAUAGGGCAGUUAACCAGGUGUCAUAUGCAGAGGCUGUCAAACAGGUUAAAGCAAAAGAGCCUGCAACCAAUCAGAGGGUAAAUCAGAAAGAGGCAUCAAUGCAGGGUGAAGUACAAGGCAGGGGCGACUCCCCAGUACGAGUGGAUACAAUGCAGGUGGCUAAGACAGAUUUUCUAGCUUUUAUAAUUAAGGUUAUUAACUGCUCUGCCCAAGCAACUACACGUACAGAUCGCAUCAGGAUAAUAAUGCAAGCUGCAAAGACACAUUUGGACAUGGCUAGUGUGCCUGUGGAAGAGGUGAUGAAAAAGCUAUCAGAGGGAAAUGUUGAAUCAUCACAGCCUGAAGGAUGACAGGAACCCCAUUAACCAUAUUACAGUGGAAUGCUAGAAGCCUAGUGGCGAAUGGGCAGGAAUUUAAGAAAUUUGUAUAUGAUCUACCUGUUUUACCUGACGUUUUAUGUAUACAAG
rnacentral:lncRNA from 1 species